rnacentral:rRNA from 1 species
GACGAACGCUGGCGGCGUGCUUAACACAUGCAAGUCGAACGGAAAGGCCCUGCUUUUGUGGGGUGCUCGAGUGGCGAACGGGUGAGUAACACGUGAGUAACCUGCCCUUGACUUUGGGAUAACUUCAGGAAACUGGGGCUAAUACCGGAUAGGAGCUCCUGCUGCAUGGUGGGGGUUGGAAAGUUUCGGCGGUUGGGGAUGGACUCGCGGCUUAUCAGCUUGUUGGUGGGGUAGUGGCUUACCAAGGCUUUGACGGGUAGCCGGCCUGAGAGGGUGACCGGCCACAGGGAGACUGAGAGACGGCCCAGACUCCUACGGGGCAGCGGUGGGGAAUAUUGCACAAUGGGCGGAAGCCUGAUGCAGCAACGCCGCGUGCGGGAUGACGGCCUUCGGGUUGUAAACCGCUUUCGCCUGUGACGAAGCGUGAGUGACGGUAAUGGGUAAAGAAGCACCGGCUAACUACGUG